GAUGAACGCUAGCUACAGGCUUAACACAUGCAAGUCGAGGGGCAGCAUUUCAGUUUGCUUGCAAACUGGAGAUGGCGACCGGCGCACGGGUGAGUAACACGUAUCCAACCUGCCGAUAACUCGGGGAUAGCCUUUCGAAAGAAAGAUUAAUACCCGAUGGCAUAAUUAGACCGCAUGGUCUUAUUAUUAAAGAAUUUCGGUUAUCGAUGGGGAUGCGUUCCAUUAGGCAGUUGGUGAGGUAACGGCUCACCAAACCUUCGAUGGAUAGGGGUUCUGAGAGGAAGGUCCCCCACAUUGGAACUGAGACACGGUCCAAACUCCUACGGGAGGCAGCAGUGAGGAAUAUUGGUCAAUGGGCGCAGGCCUGAACCAGCCAAGUAGCGUGAAGGAUGACUGCCCUAUGGGUUGUAAACUUCUUUUAUAUGGGAAUAAAGUUUUCCACGUGUGGAAUUUUGUAUGUACCAUAUGAAUAAGGAUCGGCUAACUCCGUGCCAGCAGCCGCGGUAAUACGGAGGAUCCGAGCGUUAUCCGGAUUUAUUGGGUUUAAAGGGAGCGUAGGCGGACAGUUAAGUCAGUUGUGAAAGUUUGCGGCUCAACCGUAAAAUUGCAGUUGAUACUGGCUGUCUUGAGUACAGUAGAGGUGGGCGGAAUUCGUGGUGUAGCGGUGAAAUGCUUAGAUAUCACGAAGAACUCCGAUUUGCGAAGGCAGCUCACUGGACUGCAACUGACACUGAUGCUCGAAAGUGUGGGUAUCAAACAGGAUUAGAUACCCUGGUAGUCCACACAGUAAACGAUGAAUACUCGCUGUUUGCGAUAUACAGUAAGCGGCCAAGCGAAAGCAUUAAGUAUUCCACCUGGGGAGUACGCCGGCAACGGUGAAACUCAAAGGAAUUGACGGGGGCCCGCACAAGCGGAGGAACAUGUGGUUUAAUUCGAUGAUACGCGAGGAACCUUACCCGGGCUUAAAUUGCAUUUGAAUAUAUUGGAAACAGUAUAGCCGUAAGGCAAAUGUGAAGGUGCUGCAUGGUUGUCGUCAGCUCGUGCCGUGAGGUGUCGGCUUAAGUGCCAUAACGAGCGCAACCCUUAUCUUUAGUUACUAACAGGUCAUGCUGAGGACUCUAGAGAGACUGCCGUCGUAAGAUGUGAGGAAGGUGGGGAUGACGUCAAAUCAGCACGGCCCUUACGUCCGGGGCUACACACGUGUUACAAUGGGGGGUACAGAAGGCAGCUACCUGGUGACAGGAUGCUAAUCCCAAAAGCCUCUCUCAGUUCGGAUCGAAGUCUGCAACCCGACUUCGUGAAGCUGGAUUCGCUAGUAAUCGCGCAUCAGCCAUGGCGCGGUGAAUACGUUCCCGGGCCU
rnacentral:rRNA from 1 species